CUCCACACCACACUGACUGACUGACUGCAUUCACAUGGGAGCCAAUUUGUCAACUGAGAUCAACAAGUCUCACCUGACCUGCUGUCCCGACGGGAAAACACCACGUAACGUUUCCACUCGGGGCUGGAUUUGUGGCUCACCGAUGGUUGUCUGUCACCGCACACUAACUGACAGCGAAGGAAUGUCUACGGAAGCCGGGAGAGGACAUGAGACCGAACUGCGAGGAUGAGCCUGAGAGAGCCAACAUCACUGGAUAUCUUCAAGGACACCUGGGGACGUCUCCAGAUGAUUUUGCAGGGGCCAAAACUGGCUCAUUUUCCACAGGAAGUCGGAUCAUCUCCAUCCGUGAUAAAAACGACCAAAACAGGCUUUGGAUGCUGUGUAAGAGCCUCUCCCAGUGGAUCAGCACAGGGAUUAAGGGAACAUUUAAAUUAAUACUUCUUUUGUACCUCCCUUGCUAAUGAGAUGUAAAUAUGUCCCCACAAAAGUAAAAAAAAAAAAAAAAAAAAAAAAAAAAGAAAGGAAGAAAAACCUCUGGGCUGGAUGUUUCGGAGGCUGCCGGGACCACUGAAGCUUGAUACUAUGGGACAGCUGCUGCGGCUCCUCCGUCCCCCUGCUGUGAGGGAGCCAGCCGGACCUAUUGUCUUUUCCCAAGAAUGACCAGAGAAUGUGGCAACUCCUCGGGUCACAUAGUCUUUACUUCUCUGUUUGUGUGUGUUGGUGACUGGGGUGAGGGGUAGGACGUGGCUGUGGCCCUGUCAUUCACAUCUCUAUGGGAGCACAUGCCAUCAGAGCUAAUUACCUGCCUGGAAGGACCAAUUAAGAUCCCCUCUGAUGCCCCCAAACAAGAGGGCUACAGUAGUGAGGGGAGUAUGUGCAGUGACGAACAUACGCGCAGGACAGUCGCAUAAACAUCAACUCCACACAGCUUCUAUUCUUAUUCUCAGCUUAGACAAAUCUUUUGUUGAAAGCUUUAUGUUUAGUGAAUGUACAGUCGUGCCAUAAGAGUAAAUCCAUUGUGUUUUGGCCCUUUCCCUCUGGACCUGCAGUAAAACCCUAACACUUUGUUUGAACUGUGCUGCCUUUAUCUUUUCUCUAACUGUAUGAGAGAAGCUGUCACAGCUGGACGCCAGCAGCACUGUGAGAUAAUUAUGAUAAGACGUGGCCGAGUCGUUCUACGAACAAACAUGGCCACCGAGGCCAGAGGAAGGGAAGAACAAUGGAGGCGAUUUACAGCAGACUGGAGGUGUCAGCAGUCCGUCAUUACAGUCACAGCAGCGGUUGUUGGUUUACUGCAAAUGAGCUCUGUGUUGACCUUCCUUAAACAGUGCUUUGAAGAGCUUCUGCACAUUCAGAUGAUUAAUUUCUUGUCCAAAUGUCUGGUACAAAUAUUUGUUCGUUGUCCUGGUGAAAACCCUCAUUAUCAACUCUGAUGGAACAAUAAACU